rnacentral:rRNA from 1 species
GGAUUGACACGUCGGUCGUGCCUUAAGGGGUAUGAACUGGCGUAGUCAAUUUCUCACCUUCUGGAGAACCGCGCUGUCCUUAAUUGGGUGACGCGGGGAACCAGGACCUUUACUUUGAAAAAAUUAGAGUGCUCCAUACAGGCAUUUGCUUGAAUACAUUAGCAUGGAAUAACGGAAUAG